UCUUGUGCAAUGCACGAAAGUAUGACACAGAGAGGACACAUUUAAUUGAGCCCGUCAAAUUAAGUGCCAGCCGACGCGGUUAGACUUAAGGGCUGGUCUUUAUAAGUAAAAAGGCGUAAAGGAUGUGUAGGCCAAGAAAUUGUCCAAGAAGGUAAAUGGAAUUUUUCUGGAGCGGUAGAAUGUGAGGAUAGAAAAUAGAACACCUAAGGUUAAAACUAUUUACCACAAAAUAGGCUGAAACAUGAAAGUGUGGGGAGCAAACAGGAUUAGAGACCCUGGUAGUCCACACUGUGAACUUUGAAGAUGAUGCUUAGCAGACCCGAAAGGUAAAAUCUUCCGCCUGAGUAGUACGAUCGCAAGAUUAAAAUUCAAAAACUUUGGCUGUUCACUAUUUCGAUUAGAGGAGCGUGUAGUUUAAUUCGAUGGUCCGCGUGUUACCUUACCCCAGCUUGAAUCUAUGACCGGUAUUGCAUGGCCGUCGUAAGUCCGUGUGUUAAGCUAGAAGGGACCCAAUCCGGGCGUUUGCCCGAAGGAAGUCAGGUCUUAUGAUCCGAAUGUUGGGGGAUUUUAUGCGCUACAUUUUCUUAUAUAAUGAGAGACUUGAAAGGUAAGCCUCUAAAGUAAGAGUUCGGAAGGUCGCUGUAAAACGACUGGAAGUUGGAUUUAAUAGUAAUCGGAAAGUAGGGCGUUCCGGUGAAUUGGUACAAGUGUUAGCACAAAUUGCCCGUCACCUUUACCUAGGAUGGUUAAAGUCGUAA
rnacentral:rRNA from 1 species